rnacentral:sRNA from 1 species
UCCAGGUGGGGUGGCAUGCACCUAUAGUCCCAGCUACUCAGGAGGCUGAGGCAGGAGGGUCACUUGAGCCCAGGAGUUCAAGACUAGCCUGAAUAACACAGCAAGACCCUAUCUCAA